AUGUAAUGUAAUUCCUACAAAAUUAAUGCAGCGUAUCCCAUUAGAACUCUGUAUUUAAGCGUGCUUGGGCUAGACUAGUACUGAGAUGGGUGACCUCCCCGAAAUUCCUAGUGUUUUACUUC
rfam:Picea glauca, whole genome shotgun sequence.